GGUUCGAUGGUGUAGUUGGUUUAUCACUUCUGUCUAACAGCCUUGCCAAAGCGGCGUUCCACAGGCGGUCCUCAGUUCGAGCCUGGGUCGAAUCA